UAAAGUCAAACAACCUCCUCGCAGUUAUAAGCAUUUUGAGAGCAUGAAGCCCUAUUACGAAAGUAACUUUAUUACCUCCGACCCCACGAAAGCUGAGAAACAAACUGGGAUUAGAUACCCCACUAUGCUCAGUCUUAAACUUAGAUGUUUACACUACAAAAACAUCCGCCAGGGUACUACAAGCGCUAGCUUAAAACCCAAAGGACUUGACGGUGUCUCAGAACCAUCUAGAGGAGCCUGUCCUAGAACCGAUAUUCCCCGUUUAACCUCACCACCCCUUGCCAUUUCAGCCUAUAUACCGCCGUCGCAAGCUUACCCUGUGAAGGGAAAAAAGUAAGCAAAAUGGGUUUUCCCCAGAACGUCAGGUCGAGGUGUAGCCUACGAGGUGGGAAGAGAUUGGCUACAUUUUCUUCAUCAGAAUAUACGAACGGAACUGUGAAAUCAGAUCCUGAAGGUGGAUUUAGUAGUAAAAAUCAAGUAGAGAGUCAUUUUGAAACAGGCUCUGAGACGCGUACACACCGCCCGUCACCC
rnacentral:rRNA from 1 species